CCUACGGGAGGCAGCAGUGGGGAAUCUUGGGCAAUGGAGGCAACUCUUACCCAGCAAUGCCGCGUGAAUGAAGAAGGUCUUCGGAUUGUAAAGUUCUUUAAUUGGGGACGAAAAAAAUGACGGUACCCAAGGAAUAAGCCCCGGCUAACUACGUGCCAGCAGCCGCGGUAAUACGUAGGGGGCAAGCGUUAUCCGGAUUUACUGGGUGUAAAGGGAGCGUAGACGGCUGUGCAAGUCUGAAGUGAAAGCCCAGGGCUCAACCCUGGGACUGCUUUGGAAACUGUGGAGCUAGAGUGCUGGAGAGGUAAGUGGAAUUCCUAGUGUAGCGGUGAAAUGCGUAGAUAUUAGGAGGAACACCAGUGGCGAAGGCGGCUUACUGGACAGUAACUGACGUUGAGGCUCGAAAGCGUGGGGAGCAAACAGGAUUAGAUACCCCUGUAGUC
rnacentral:rRNA from 1 species